AAGUGACGUCGUUGUUAGUGUUGCUAGCAGAGUGGUAGUGCAGCUUCCUACAUAGGGUCUUCAUAAAAAAAUAACCAUGGCGGCCACUGAAAUAGCUAGGCAAGCGGGAGAAGGUGCUCGUGCCGUCCCUCUAGCCGGCCAUGUCGGCUUUGAUAGCAUGCCCGACCAGCUGGUCAACAAGUCUGUCAACCACGGCUUCUGCUUCAACAUCCUCUGUGUCGGGGAAACGGGCCUGGGCAAGUCCACUCUUAUGGACACCCUGUUCAACACCAAGUUCGAGGGCGAGCCCACCCAGCACAACCAGCCGGGCGUGCAGCUCAAGUCCAACACAUACGAGCUCCAAGAGAGCAACGUGCGCCUCAAGCUGACCGUGGUCAACACUGUGGGCUUUGGAGACCAGAUCAACAAAGAGGACAGCUACAAGUCCAUUGUUGAGUUUAUCGACACCCAGUUCGAGGCCUAUCUGCAGGAGGAGCUGAAAAUCAAGCGCACGCUACACAGCUACCACGACACACGCAUCCACGCCUGCCUGUACUUCAUUGCGCCCACCGGACACUCCCUCAAGUCCCUGGACCUGGUAACUAUGAAGAAACUGGACAGCAAGGUCAACAUCAUCCCCAUCAUUGCCAAGUCAGAUGCCAUCUCCAAGAGCGAGCUGACCAAGUUCAAGAUCAAGAUCACCAGUGAGCUGGUCAGCAACGGCGUUCAGAUCUACCAGUUCCCCACCGACGACGAGACGGUGGCAGAGAUCAACUCCACCAUGAACGGCCAUUUGCCAUUCGCCGUUGUGGGAAGCACGGAGGAAGUAAAGAUCGGCAACAAGAUGGUGAAAGCGAGGCAGUACCCCUGGGGAACAGUGCAGGUGGAGAAUGAGAACCACUGUGACUUUGUGAAGCUGCGGGAGAUGCUGAUCCGGGUAAACAUGGAGGACCUGCGGGAGCAGACACACACGCGCCACUAUGAGCUCUACCGCCGCUGCAAGCUGGAGGAGAUGGGAUUCAAGGACACUGACCCCGACUGCAAACCCUUCAGUCUGCAGGAGACGUACGAGGCCAAGAGGAACGAGUUCAUGGGUGACCUGCAGAAGAAGGAGGAGGAGAUGAGGCAGAUGUUCGUCCAGAGAGUCAAGGAGAAGGAAGCUGAACUGAAGGAGGCCGAGAAAGAGCUGCACGAGAAGUUUGACCGGCUCAAGAAGCUGCACCAGGAUGAGAAGAAGAAGCUGGAGGACAAGAAGAAAUCCCUGGAUGACGAGCUCAACGGCUUCAAGCAGAAAAAGACGGCCGCCGAGCUCCUACAGUCCCAGGCCCAGCAGGCAGGGGGCUCCACCACACUCAAGAGGGACAAGGAGAGGAAAAAUAUCAGGCUGCAGUAGGAGGGCCGUGUUGGCAGUUAGAGGUUGUUGUCGUGGGUCCCUUCAUGUUGGUAAUCACUCCUGGUUGUCUAUCCAAACUGAUGUGAGCCCUGCCACCUGCCCUGUUAGAAAGGAUGAAGACACUUGCACUGAGAGUUCAGGAUUCCUGUAGAAAAGUGCUUCCUCCCUCAGCCAGCUGUGAAUGAGUUUUCACCCCAUCCUUGGCAGUGCCAUGCUGUUCUUUGUGCCCCCCCCCCCCUUCACAAGUCAUCAUUCUGCAUUUGCCUGUUUUUUAAAAAGUUUUUAUGUUGGAAGGUAGACCUUCUCUUUUUGUUUGUUAGCCUGUUUCCGCACGACUGAGUGUGCUUUUAACUUUAACAUACGCAACUACUGUUUUGACCGGCAGGAGUUUGUGGAGGCUAAGGUGAAACGCACAUCCGCUAUGUUUUGACCAAGCGUGUGUGUGUGUGUGUGUGUGUGUGUGUGUGUGUGUGUGUGUGUGUGUGUGUGUGUGUGUGUGUGUGUGUGUGUGUGUGUGUGUGUGUGUGUGUGUGUGUGUGUGUGUGUGUGUGUGUGUGUGUGUGUGUGUGUGUGUGUGUGUGGCAUGUAGUCUGUGCUCAUUGCAUAUACUUGGCAGGGGCAGCAUAUUCACGUCCAUGUUUCAUACUACCACUAUUCUACUCACUCCACUAAACCACUCCAGUAGUUUGAGAUAAUGAAGAUGUACACUGAUAUCGUAUUGGCAAACAAUGCAUAAUUAUUUAAAAUGAAGACACAACCGUAGUACGUUUCUAAAUGAAGGCAUGUUGUCCACCGCCCAUCAAGAGUAGCCUGGUCCCAGAUCUGUUUGUACUUUUGCCUACUCCAAACAUUGCAUGACUAUCAGUUACAGGAAGUUGGAAUGAUAGCCUCGGAGCCAGUUUGUUUGCGCUAUCAAGACAGUGAGUGUUAAUAGUGAACUGCUGAUGUUAUUUCAUCUUAGCCUGGUGCAUGUGAAGACAUUCAUGCUUUCUCGCCAUCUCUUUGCCAUACCUCAUUGUUUUUAAUAUACUUUGUUAUCUGCAUACUUGUUAGCUUUUGACAUUUUACACAAAUAUGAUUUUGUGUAUUUCUAUUGCAAUUGGGACUUUUUUAUGUAUAUUUUUUCCAUUUAAUCCAUUUAAACAAAAAAAACAAUCAUGUAGGGAUCAGUAUUACACUUGUAUCAGUGUUACACAAAAAUACUUCAUAUCCAAAGGAAAUAAAGCGUGAAUUUCACCAAAUAUUUCAACUGUGGCCACGAUUAUUGUGUAUGAAAUGUAUAAUCAAUCAGUAUUUUAAACACAAGUGUGUGAGUGGGUUCUGCAAAUGUGAGGAUAUAAGGGUUUCAAAUAGAUUCUGAUUACAGUUGGAAACACUUGGUUUGCUCUAGAUGUUUAACUCCUUCAAGGGCUUUGAGAUAUCCCGCCAUUGUUAUUGUCAAAACGACUCUCCUUACAGAGCAAAAUUGUCUGCAAACCUGAAUUCAUAGGGCUGGAUCCUAACUUGGACUUUCUUAUUAAUCAUGCCUUGAAGUCAGUAGAACACUUGCAUGAGCAUUUAAGUUGGGUGCAUAAAUGUCAUGUUAGUAUUCAGCCAGCACUGCUUUUGUCUGAACAGACUGAGCCAGUAGUCAUUCUCCAUUCCUCCUAGAGAAACAGGAUUGGAACACUCCAUUGUUUGGCAGAUGAGUGUGAGCGCCAGUGAGAUUGUUGGUUUUUAAUUUCAACUCCACUUCCUUCUCAUCUGUAUCUUGAGGACAGGGUGUUGUUUAUCAGGAAAAUACUUCUAAGAACCCCCACACCACCCUCCGAAAAUAUGUCUUGUGUCCUUGCUCAAUAUAACCCACAUGCCUUUGUACGGUGACACAGGUCAGACAGUUGGUCUGAUGAGUCAAAUGUCCACAGAUGUAGGUAUUUUGUUUUCGUCUAAAUGUAUCGAAAUGAGUCGCUUACGUACUUACACAUUCUUGUACAGUGGUGUAGUAGGUGUGGUUUACAACUUCUCACAAUCCCUUCUCAAAUUGCUCUUUGUCUCAAUGUCUCUGGGUGAACUGUUGUCCUAAGCUCUAUGGGUUGGCAGGGUGUGCCUUGGUGUGUGGUCAUUCAUACAUACUGUGCUUUAGUUCCUCUGCUCACUGCUCUGUGUGUAUUUACCUUUCCUUUGCAGUAAACCCUGGCUCUGCACUGAGUAGGUGCUUCCACCCUCAAGCUUUGCUAAGGGACCAGGCUUUGUGGGUAGCGGGUACCCCAAGGCUGAGGAGAGGCAUUGUGAACCCACCCUUCUGGGUUUAAAAAAAAAAAAAAACAUUCAUCUGCUUCAUGUAUUAACAAAAGUAUACCCCUAUCUGUAUUUCAUUGCUGCUCUAUGUGCUGACUCUGUGGCUAAAUCUGUCUUUUGUGUAUGGUUAUGCUUUCUUGUCAUGUCGUGUUUUUGCUGUGCUGACUGACUAAUAUCACCAUUUGCUUUUUGCUUCUGUUGGGAUAGAUAUUUUCUGGACUGUUUUUGUUGUGCACUUCUUGGUAGUUUUCCCAUCAUUAUUAGGUUUAAGAUUGUCUGUUUUGAUUUAUUAACUGACACUGAAUACCUUUUUAAAAAAUGUACAGAGGACAUAAUAUCUGCUGCAAGCAGUUCUCACAAGCAAUUUAUUCAAUGUUUUAAAUCCGUAUUAUGCUCAAAUUGAAUUGGUCAGCUCAAGUACUGUAGUAUUUUAUUAUGAGUAGUUAUUUUUAGCUUACCACACAGACAUUGCAUUUGUAACAGAGUUAGUGUCAUUUGAAGUACAGUAGCAACUAUACAUGCGUUAGGAAAACCCAAAUACGUACGGUCUUCCCUCCCCAAAAUGUCAGUAAUCCUUCUGGUAGGCACUGUUGCUCUACCUGACUGCUUGGGCAUCUCUUGUAACCUUGCAUUUGUCUCCUUUCUCUCUAGCUUCUUUUAAUCUGUCUUGGCCACCUGUCUGAAGAGGGGAUUGCAGCUUCAACAAGAACUAAGCACCCAUUUCCUCUUCCUGUCUUUUCUCACUGCAUCAACCUUUUUUUAACCUCCAUCUCAUCUGCUUUGUUGAACAUGGCCGUAUGUGGACUUCACAUGGUAUUUUUUGGAUAGUUUACCUUUUGCCACCUAAUCAAGGUACAAUUUGGCAAGUGGGAGUCCUUCACUGAUAAUAUUUUGCAGAUCUGUCUUGGUGUAUGAAUGAACAAAGCUUUGUUCAGGUGCUCAGGUAGGAUUCUAAACAGUUGUUCAAGAGAAAAACAUCAAACCAAUAGUUUCAUCAUACCAUUUCUGGCAGAGUCAAGGCUCUGGAUUAAUUUAUAUUUUGCAUAAAACUAUCAGAACUUAAUUGACAGUACAUUUUAAGAAGGUCUAUGUAAUAACGUUCAAUCAUAUAUUCAGUCCAUUUUGAGAAGGACUCUGUUUUGAAAUAACCAUUACAAAUAGCCUAUUAUUAAUGUGCUCAUCGUUCAAAGGGGGGGGUUAUGAUUUUUAUUUAUUUAACUAGGCAAGUCCGUUAAGAACAAAUUCUUAUUUACAAUGACGGCCUACCCCGGCCAUAGCCUAACCCGGACGACGCUGGGCCAAUUGUGCCUCCCUAUGGGACUCCCAAUCACAGCCAAUUGUGAUACAGCCUGGAAUUGAACCAGGGUCUGUAGUGACACCUCUAGCACUGAGAUGCAGGGCCUUAGACUGCUGCACCACUCGGGAGCCCCUAUGAAUACAAAUAGCACAACCCAGAUCUCAAUAAAGCACUAAAUUCGCCAUAUUUAUUUGGUGAUUGAUAGUGCGACGUCUUACACUGCGUCUGAGUAGUAGAAACUUUUGUCAAUACGGAUUUAAAAACCAUAGGACAAUUGCGAUCCAAAUAAAUACAGUAUUCUUUGUUCACUGCAUAGGUUGUUUCAUUGGAACUCAGAAGAGCCAAAGACAUGUUCACGUCAAGCACUUAUUUAGUGAAAACACCUUUUCCAUACUGAAAUGCCAUGUAGGUCGCAUUUAAUGCCCUUUACGCAUUGUGCUUGAACUACCAUCAGUCUAUUCUGUAUUUUGCAUGUCUUUUUCUUUCAUCACCUCUGUGAUCUUGACCUUUUGCUCCCCAUUGUAGUUUUCUCCCCUAACAGUUUUGCACUCUUUCACAUUUGAUGCUCUAUUGUUUGGACCAGUUUUAUCUUGUGUAUUACUAGUUGUUAUGUGCAGUUAUACCCCUCUCCACAAUUUCUGGCACCCAUAUUGCCAAAUAUUACAAUGAGAUGGAGUUGAAUCCUAGAGACAGAUACUCAUGCAUUUGUAUAAUUUAUAAGGAUAUAUUUUGUGUAUGUAAGUGGAGACCUGUUUUAUGAAAUAUGAUCUUUGGAUGUGACUCUUCUCUCUGUGUAAAGUUACAUUUUGUUGUAAGAAAUUGCCAUACAUUUUUCUAGCAUCUGCCAUAAUCACCCCUCCUAGUCAAUUACCUGUCCACACCACAAAUUAAUGAUAAAAUAUGUGAUUGUAGUUUGAUUCCAUUUAUGUAAAUUUUCAAUAAAAUUAUGAUGAAAA